rnacentral:rRNA from 1 species
UACGUAGGGUGCAAGCGUUAUUCGGAUUCACUGGGCGUAAAGGGUGCGCAGGCGGCCGAGUGUGUGAGGCGUGAAAGCCCGGGGCUUAACCCCGGAAUUGCACCUCAAACUACACGGCUAGAGCAUUGGAGAGGGUAGCAGAAUUCAUGGUGUAGCAGUGAAAUGCGUAGAUAUCAUGAGGAAUACCAGAGGCGAAGGCGGCUACCUGGACAAUUGCUGACGCUCAGGCACGAAAGCGUGGGGAGCAAAAGGG